GUCACUGUCCCCUGUUGGUCCCUGUGUCCUCAGGAGUGAAAUGGGGGUGACCAUCCUGCACUGCAGGCCUCCCAGGGUGGUCAUGAGGGUCAGGGCAGGAAAGGACUGUGCAGAGCUCUCUGCCCCGGUCCACCCUAAGGGCGGAGGGCAAGAACAAAGCCAACAGGAGUAUGACCCUGAGUCCUCAAGAGAGCCCCUGAGCUGGGUGGAGCUCUCACCCUUUCCAGAGGUGGAAAUGGGCUCAGGGAGGCCAGGCCCGGGGCCCCAGGUCUCACACCGAGUGAGUGUCGUGGCUGGGAGUGUUCUGGAGUCAGAGCAUGCUGGGGGCAGAGCAGCAUCGGUACCAGCCGACUGGGGUCAGUUGUUCAGGGUCUGGGGUGAGGAGUUUUGGGGUGACUUGGGGUGAGGGCAGUAUGGCCUCAGUGACCCUGUCCUGACCUUGGCAGAAGCGGCCCUCCAGGUUUGCCACUCUGCUGAUGCACCUCCGGGGAGCUCUGAAGAGGCCGCAGAAGAAAUGUGUCCCCUUCCUCGGAAUAUAUGUCAGUGACCUGGGGAUGCUGCACACUGCCAUACAGGACUACCCUGAGGUUUGUGCCCUGGGGCCCUGGCUGGGGUGACCAGGAUUGAUAUUUGGGGAGGAGAGUGCCCCGCCUCAGUCCUGAGCCCUGAGCUCAUGGCACAGCCACCCCUGGGAGCGGGGGCAGCAUGCCCAUCACAGGGAUCCAUCCACGUCCCCUCUCCUCUGGAGCCCAGAGCCUGUCCUGAGUCCUAGUCCUGUGUUUGUGUGUGUCCAGGGCCCCCCUGGGACCUGACCUAGAGUCACCUGAGAAAGUGUGGGCAUGGGGGCGGUCAUGGCUGGGGGACUCUUUCUGAUGGACUUUGGCUGUCUGCCUUCCAGGGACAUGUGAAAAAUUUAGCAAAGAAGAGGAAGGAACUCAAAGUGUUGGAGGAGAUCGUGCUCCUGCAGCAGGCUGCUCAGCUCUACAGCAUAGAGCCCGAGGAGCGAUUCGGGGCCUGGUUCUGGGCCCUGGAGCGGCUCAGCGAGAAGGAGAGUUACACCCUGUCCUGCCAGCUGGAACCCCGGUCCUAGUUGGCCUGCACAGCACUCAAGGCCAAGAACAUCAGGCGUGACUGAGUGUCCAGGUG